AUUAUUAUAAAUGUAAAUUAUUAAUACUUGAAGAGUAAUUGUUAUGUUCUUGAAAUUUAAAGAUUUUGGCGGUAUUUUAGUCUGUUCAGAGGAACCUGUUCUAUAAUUGAUAUUCCACGAUUAAUUUUACUUUAUUUAAUAAAUUUGUAUAUCGUUGUUUUUAGAAGAUUUUAUAAGAAUUUAAAUUUUUAAUUUUUUUAAUUAAAUUAUAUUUCAAAUCAAGGUGCAGUUUAUAAUUAAGUGGAAAUGGGUUACAAUAAAUUUAUUUAUAUGGAUUAAAAUUAGAAUAUUAAUUUUAUGAAGGUGGAUUUGAUAGUAAAUAAACUAAAUUAAUUUUAUUGAUUUAUGCUCUAAAAUAUGU
rnacentral:rRNA from 1 species